AAGAAAUGUCUGUUCAUGCCUGCCCACUUUUUAACUGGAUUAUAUAUUUUGGGGGUGUUGAAUUCUUUAAGUUUUUUUUUUUUAAUUUUAUUUAAUUAUUCAUGAGAGACACACAGAAAGAGAGGGAGAAGCAGGCUCCAUGCAGGUAGCCUGAUGUGGGACUCGAUACCAGGACUACAGGAUCAUGCCCUGAGCCAAAGGCAGACACUCAGCUGCUGAGCCACCCAGUCAUCCCAAAUUCUUUAAGUUCUUUAUGUAUUUUGGAUACUAAUCUUUUAUUGGAUAUGUAAUUUGCAAAUAUCUUCUUCCAUUCAGUAGAUUGCCUUUUAGUUUUGUUGUUUCCAGUACUCAUAAUAUUUUUAAGGCUUACAAAGAAAAUCUAACAGAAAUAUAAACAGAAGCCUUAAUGUUAUUUUUAAAAAGAUUUUAUUUAUUUAUUCAUGAGGAACACACAGAGAGAGAAGCAGAGACAUAGGUAGAGGAAGAGGCAGGCUCCAUGCAAGAAGCCCGAUGCGGGAAUGGAUCCUGGGACUCUGGGAUCAUGCCCUGAGUCAAAAUCAGACACUCAACUGCUGAGCCACCCAGGCAUCCCAAGCCUUAAUGUUAUUAUAGAAAAAACACAGAUGACCACUAAAUAUAUGAAAAUGCUCAAAUUCACUGGUAAUUACAGAAAUAUAAGGUAAGCCACAAUCAUAUUUCAUAUCUCAAAAACUAAAGGGUGAUAUGAUGUAGAAUGGGCAUUCUCAUUAACUACUAGUGUAAAUUGGUACAAUCACUUUGAAAGAUAAUUUGUUAUUUUUCUGGUAUUCUGUUGCUGCAUACAAACCACCCAAAACUUAAAAUAACAUUCCAAAGUUCUAUGGGUCUGCAAAUUGGAAAGGUCUUGGCUGGGCAGCUCUGGAAUUGUUCCUUCAGUUACAGUGGCACAUUUGGGGACUGGGCUGCUGGGAGCUGACUAGGCUCUCUCUUCAUGUUGCUCCUCAUGAUUUCCACACAAGAGUGGUAAGGUUGAGCUCAGAGCAUGGUGACCUCUGGCUUCAGGGUGGCCAGAAGGCCUAUAAGGAAGGUAAUGUCUUUUUUUUUUUUUUAAGAUUUUAUUUAUUUGGGAUCCCUGGGUGGCGCAGCGGUUUAGCGCCUGCCUUUGGCCCAGGGCGCGAUCCUAGAGACCCGGGAUCGAAUCCCACGUCGGGCUCCUGGUGCAUGGAGCCUGCUUCUCCCUCUGCCUCUGUCUCUGCCUCUCUCUCUCUCUCUCUGUGUGACUAUCAUAAAUAAAUAAAAAAAAUUAAAAAAAAGAUUUUAUUUAUUUAUUCAUGAGAGACACAGAGAGGCAGAGGCAGACACCCCACAGGAAGAGCCUGAUGAGGAACUCAAUCCUGGGACCGGGAUCCCACCCUGAGCCAAAGACAGAUGCUCAGCCACUGUUCGACUCAGGUGUCCUCCUCUCAUCUUUUCUGUUGGAGAAUUAAAUGCUCUUCUGGCUUCCUCUGUCACUGUUACACAAAGCACUUUUAUCAGUUGCCCUGACCUCUUUCCUAGGUUCCUCUGAAUUGAAUCUUAUUGGUCUCCUAACAUUUUGACUUGAGGUAUUCAUUUGCUGUUCCAUAAUAAGGUUCAUUUGUUUGAUUUCUGAAAAAAUUAGAAGGGAAAUGAUCUAGAUUACUCAUUGUUACAUUGCUAAGCAGUGAUACUUAAGGAAACAAUCAAAUGCACCGUGUACUACAUUUCAUACUAGAAAGGACAUUUUAACAUAAAAAUUUAGAAAGCCCAUAAUAAUAGAAUUGAAAAAUACGUAGCUUUAAAAAUAAUGUAGUGAGUACUUCAUUAUUUUUCUUUUUGCUUCAGACUAAUGAAAACAUAAUAAAACACUGCUUUGGAGUAAGUAAACCUUGUAG
rnacentral:lncRNA from 1 species